rnacentral:rRNA from 1 species
CACAUACGCAUCCUUUGCUGAGGAUACGGUUAACGGAGCGAAAGCGACGUUCAACCGCAAAAAAAGAAGCAGAGGGGGCUUAGUGGUGGGGUGACUGCGUACCUUUUGUAUAAUGGGUCAGCGACUUAUAUUCUGUAGCAAGGUUAACCGAAUAGGGGAGCCGGAGGGAAACCGAGUCUUAAUUGGGCGUUAAGUUGCAGGGUAUAGACCCGAAACCUGGUGAUCUAGCCAUGGGCAGGUUGAAGGUUGGGUAACACUAACUGGAGGACCGAACCGACUAAUGUUGAAAAAUUAGCGGAUGACCUGUGGCUGGGGGUGAAAGGCCAAUCAAACCGGGAGAUAGCUGGUUCUCCCCGAAAGCUAUUUAGGUAGCGCCUCGUGAAUUCAUCUCCGGGGGUAGAGCACUGUUUCGGCUAGGGGGCCAUCCCGGCUUACCAACCCGAUGCAAACUGCGAAUACCGGAGAAUGUUAUCACGGGAGACACACGGCGGGUGCUAACGUCCGUCGUGAAGAGGGAAACAACCCAGACCGCCAGCUAAGGUCCCAAAGUCAUGGUUAAGUGGGAAACGAUGUGGGAAGGCCCAGACAGCCAGGAUGUUGGCUUAGAAGCAGCCAUCAUUUAAAGAAAGCGUAAUAGCUCACUGGUCGAGUCGGCCUGCGCGGAAGAUGUAACGGGGCUAAACCAUGCACCGAAGCUGCGGCAGCGACGCUGAUGCGUUGUUGGGUAGGGGAGCG